rnacentral:rRNA from 1 species
CCCUAUGGAGCUUAAAUUCAACACCCAUGUUUCACACUACAACUCCCCAGAGCACAACACUCCUACACCUGGGUACACAAUUUCGGUUGGGGUGACCUCGGGGCACAAAUAAACCCCCGAGUAAUAUUUACCCAGACUCCACCAGUCAAAGUACACAAACACCAUUUACAUUGACCCAAAUAGUUGAUCAACGGAACAAGUUACCCUAGGGAUAACAGCGCA